rnacentral:rRNA from 1 species
GACGAACGCUGGCGGCGUGCUUAACACAUGCAAGUCGAACGGAAAGGCCCUGCUUUUGUGGGGUACUCGAGUGGCGAACGGGUGAGUAACACGUGAGUAACCUGCCCUUGACUUUGGGAUAACUUCAGGAAACUGGGGCUAAUACCGGAUAGGAGCUCCUGCUGCAUGGUGGGGGUUGGAAAGUUUCGGCGGUUGGGGAUGGACUCGCGGCUUAUCAGCUUGUUGGUGGGGUAGUGGCUUACCAAGGCUUUGACGGGUAGCCGGCCUGAGAGGGUGACCGGCCACAUUGGGACUGAGAUACGGCCCAGACUCCUACGGGAGGCAGCAGUGGGGAAUAUUGCACAAUGGGCGGAAGCCUGAUGCAGCAACGCCGCGUGCGGAAUGACGGCCUUCGGGUUGUAAACCGCUUUCGCCUGUGACGAAGCGUGAGUGACGGUAAUGGGUAAAGAAGCACCGGCUAACUACGUG